GAAUUCUGCGGACCGUUAUAAAUAUGAGCCGUUUGGUUGUUCCUACACUAGUUCUAUUUCUUUUACAAGAAUUAAUAAUUCAAAAAUACUGUGCAAUACUGUGUGUUACUGUGCAACCACAUGUAUUACUGUAUUUUAACCGCCGGGUAUUCCAAUAGUGUUAACGGUAACAAUUAUGUCGUUAUUUGUAAAAACUCAAACUUGUCAUUUGUUUUAUCCGACCGUUUUUUUAUGGGGCCCACAAAUGAAUGCGCCAUCGUACGAAUAUUCCACGACCAAACGAAUAUUUUUCG
rnacentral:lncRNA from 1 species